GGGGACCAGAACCCGCUGGCUCUAGAAAGUGCCCCUCGCCCAUCCCUGCCCAUGGGUUGCAUCAGCAGCGUGUCUUCUUUGUUCUCUCCCUGAAGGGUAGGAUGCUCAUGACCUUGGCCUUGCAGUUUGGGUGGGUGCACCUCCUGUCCUGGUGCUGACAUCUGGAUGAUUUAUGAACAUCAUUACCCUUUCACUGGACUCUUACUCUUCGGAGUCUUCAGAGCUGCCUGGGCCUAGCGCCCAAGAAGUUUGCUCCUUGCAUCAAUGGCGAUGCUAGACAUAUUCUACUGGCUGUGGCCCAAAGGCUGGAGGUGGAACUGUAAGAGCAGAGAGGAGGAGAAGGCUCACCAUGAAGACAAAAGAAGUCCUGAGCCUUGGAUUUUCUUCCUCUAGGGCUUUGUGGACCCACAGAUUGGUAGAAGUUCUGUGAGGGCUGACUUCUCCCCAUCUGUCCCAGAUGGAUCCCUUAAGGCUCAGGACACCUCAGAGGACUGGUGCAUGGGCUGCAGCCAGCCUGACCCAGCUCUAUAAAGAAGCUCACCCUUUACAGAUGCCCCAGAGAGGCCCCCAUCCUGCCCUGCAGCCAGCUUCCUGGGCAAGUGGGAUCAGUAGGCACUCGGGGUCUCCCUCCUCCAGGGUUUCCUGAAACAGGAUGCAUUCAGCCCUUGUAGAGUUGCUGGGGAAGUGGAAGGAAAACAGAGGUGACUCUUGAAGCCCCAGGAGCUGACCUUAGAUCUUGACACUCCUGGUGUGUGCAAAGGUCUGAGGAGACGGCCAGAUUGAGGUAAAGCAGUAAAAAUCCGUGCUUGUCAGGAAAGUAGCAAGAGCCGAGUUCUACACUAACCAUUGGCUGGCCUGGGGCAGCCUGCAGCUGCACAACUGCCUCGUACAAUGGCAUGGACAAGCAGUGUCGGUGACGUAGCAGGCCGCUGGGGACCUGGGAGACAUCCUGCUGCUGCAGGAGUCCUGUGCAGAGCAGAGGAGAGAGCAGUUUGGCAAGUGCAGGGGUCCCACUCUUCUUUUGGUUGGUGGCAGGGAGCAGGUGGGGCCUAACCUGGGUGGACAGUGUCUACCUCCCUUCUGUGCAUUUUGCAUUGGCCUUAAUUGGUUCUCCCGGGAUAGUCACGAAAGCCCGACCUUUGUUCCAGGUAAAGUGCUGCAUGUUUCAUGUGUACAGCUCAUUUAAUCUUCACAGGACCUUAUGAAGUAGUUAUUAUAUCUAUUAUCAUCACAGAAAAGAACACUGAGCCUCAGAGAGGUCAAGCAAUUGGCCCAAGAUCACACAGCCUGCAAGAAACAGAGAUGGGACUCAGACCCUGGUCUAUUUGGCUCCCAUGUGCCUUACUACUAUGUUAUACCCACCCCUCCAGUCUCCUUCUAGGUCACCAGCUGGGAUGGGAGGCCAACUCUCCAAAUCAGAAGAGUUUUUCUGGGUCAGGAAUUUGAGCAGGACUUGCCUACGUGAUUUUGGCUUGAGGACUCUCACAUGGUGGUAAUAGAUGGAAGUUGAAACUGGAGCAGAGGAGCAGAAGUGGCUGGAGUGGCAGGAACUGGCCAGGCAUCUCUUCCUCUCUGGAUAUAUAGACACUGGGCCUCUUCAUCGGGUCUUUCUGCAGGGCUGGUUGUGCUUCCUCACUGCAUGGUGGCUCAGGGCAGUCAGACCACCUGCGUGGUGGCUCAGCACUCCAGCACAGUGUCCCAUCACUCAAGGUAGAAGCUGCAUUGUCCUCUAGGGCUUAGCCUCUGAAGCCAUGCAGCGUCACUUCCUGAGCUUCCUUGUAACCACUUCCUGUUGGUUAUAAGUGAGGCACAAGCCCAUCCAAAUUCAAAGGAAGAAGAGUUAGACUCCAUCACUUAAUAGGAACGUGGCAAGAUUCUAGAAGAGCAAAUGGGAUAAGAAUUAUUGUUGCAUUCAUCUUAGAAAAAUACAAUCCGCUACAAAGCCCCCUCAUGGAGCACCCAGAUCUGAGAAGGGGGUGCUUUCCACUAAAGUCUCUGCCUCCAUUUUCCACUUCCUCUGCUUCCUUCUCCUUCUUGUGUUCUCCAUGAGCAUUAAACCAAAAUAAACAGUUCUGAGUACCCCUUUUAAUCAAGAUGUGUGAAAAAAUGUGGAAGCUCAUCCUUGGAAGAAUAAUAAUAGAAACUAGCUUUAUUUAUCCUGGGUAAGAGACGUAAGAGGAGAUGAUGGGAUCACUAUCCCAGCACAUGUGAAAGACGGGAACAGGCUUGUCCUGGGCUGCUCCAGAGGGUGGGUGGUACAGGAUUUUUCACAGUCCUGGAGAAACUCAGAGGCUUCCUUGGCUGACCACUUUUUUUUUUCUCUUUUUCAGCUUUAUUGAAAAACAAAUGACAAAUAAAAGUUGUAUAUAUUCAAGGUAUACAAUGUGAUGCUUUGAUACAUUGUGAAAUGAUGACCUCAGUCAAGCUAAUUAAGAUAUCCAUCACUUCCUGGAGGUACCUUUGUGUCUAUAUGUGGUGAGAAUACUUACAACCUACUCUCUGAAAAUUUGAAACAUACAACCCAUUGUUAUUAACUACAGUCACCUGAUGGAUAAGAGAGCUCUUGGCUAGUAUAAAUAGAGCAAGUAUUUUCCAUAAAAAUAUGGAAAAUAAGCAAGUGUUUUCCAUAAAUAGAGCAAGUAUUUUCCAUAAAAUAUCACUAAAAAUAUGCAGGAAAGGCCUGAAUUAGUUCAUAUGGCAGAUAUUGGUAUAAUCUUUUGGUUUUCAGGAUUUUUUGAAGUCUAAAGUGGGCAUGCUUACAAUAAAUUAAUUUAAAAGUGGUAUCAGUUUUAUAUGUUCUGCAUACAAUUUUCUUUUUAAGAGUACCCUGUGGGUUAAAAUAUAUUUACAGAGCAACCUCUCCUAACAAAAGAAAAUUUCAGACCAUUAGGCUUGGUCAGAUAAAUGAAUGUUAGAGGGGCAAAAUCAGGUGUAGCAAAGAUUAGUCCAUUGCAGAAAGAAACUAGGACUGUGCCUCUCCAAAUAGGAGAGUACCAAAGAGGGUACACCCCUGUACCCCAGGGGUGUCUAGUAGUGUGCCUUUGGGUCCUAGAAGAUGUAGAAUAAGUAUGGUACAUCAUCACAACAAGUAAUUUAGGACUGUUUUGCAAUAAAACAAUCAAUAUUUAUUAUGCAGUUGAUGCAAUACUCACAUAUAUUUUAAAUUAGAUGCUCUAUGAGAAUUUUCCAGUUGCUAAUAGCUAGGCAGGUGACCCUCCUACAUUCCCCUAGGAUACUGUGUAGACAAGUUUGUAUUGACAAAAAUAAGAAUGUAGACUGAAGAGCAAAACUGUUGGGUUCAAAUCCUGGCUCUGUGACUUACUAGUUAUAUAACCCUGGGCAACUUAACCUGUUCAUGCCUUAGUUUCCUCAUCUCUGAAAUGGAGAUAUUAAUAAUAAUAAUAUUCACCUCAUGGGGUGAUUGAAAGAACAAAAUGAGUUAAUUUUAGUGUUUAAAGGAGUGCCUUGCGUGUGGCAAGUACCAUGCAGAUGCUCAUUAAAUAAAAGCUUGAGAACUAUGAAUGAGCCUCUCCGAGAAGGUCAAGAAUGGGCACAUAGUCUGGGUGAUCAUGAGCAGAGGCUGGAAGUGAUGCAUUCUGUUGAAGGAAUUGUUCAUGGGGUGGCCACUCCUUCAAAAGGAAUUAUAAAAAUCUAAGACUUGAAGCUGAGAUCCCCCACCUGCUGGGUGGUGUUUGAUGGUCUAAACUGGGGGUUUGCAAACUCUUUCAGCAAAGGGCCAAGUAGUAUAUCCUUUAGAAUUGUGGGUCAUCCAGUCUUUGUCACAUUUGUUCAACUCUGCCAUUGUAGUGUGAAAGUAGCCAUGGAUGAUAUAUACCUGAAUUAAAUGGACUGUUGUGCUGGGCUGGGGCCACAGUCCAUAGUUUGCUGCUGCUUGUCUAGAUCCUGCGGGGCCUGAGCAAGUGAGCUGGAAAUAAGGUGGCUGUUGAGGGGGCUGAGGAGCAACAGGAAGUGAGAAGGGAAGGGAGAUGGGUGCAGCACCACUACAAUGCCACUUCCUUCCUGGGGUGAACUCACUUAGACUUUGAAUAGGUUCUCUGCAGAGAUGACUGAGACACUUGGAGCCAUGCGCCUGCAGAGACACAGUGGGGGACCAUGUUAGAAAUGGGAGUAACAAGUCAUUCAUUCUUACUAUAUGUUUCGUUAUUGCAUGGCAAAGGCUUUGAAAAGAAAGCUGAGUCUUUUAUUUUCCUGUGAAUCAGCUCCGAGCCCCUGGAACAAUGUUGUUCAUUCUGCGGAUGCUCAGCAAGCCCUUGCUGACUGUCUUUAUUUCUUCACCUGCAAUAAGAUCCCCCCAGGCCCAUAUGGAAACGUAAAUGUUCUUGAGGGACUAAUUCAGUGAGACUCUUCCAGGGGAAGUUCAGUCCUCCUGGGAAGUGAUUACACACUGAUGGAAUUUUUGCACACUGGAUGGAAAGAUGAUCUUUGCCUCUUGGCUGUGUCACAGUAAUAAGUGGGAGACUGAUUAUUUCUAAGAGUGCAGCUCUUCCCGGCACUGAUAAGAAUGGAAUGCAGCGCUACCAUGGAGAUUCGGGUCACUAAUUAGUCCCAGAAGCCUCUAGGCCUUGAAUCACUGUUAUAUUAAUUAUGCAUCAAAUUAGAAUGUUUGCAAAGGCUCAGAGCCAACUGUACUGCAGAACCCGGUGACAGCAUGGAGAGAUCAAGGAGUGUCCCGCCCAGCACACUGCAGGGACCAGCAGACAAAUCCACGCGGCCUGCCUGAGCGUGCAGUGACCCCGCCUGAUCUCUGAUACAGCUGUUCGCAACUCCUGCCAGAGAGCUUGUUAUCGGCACAGGGUGGACAAAAGAAGGAAAGGAAGAGAACGAUGGCUUCCCCUCAGUUCCAUAAUCUAAGCUCUACUGCGGUAAUAUCCAGCUGAGAAAAGACACAGGACAAUCAUUUGGGCACUUUAUUUCCAUGGUAACAAAUAGAAGAUUCUUCCAGAUGUUUGCUAACAUCGUGGAGGUAACAUGUCUGGACCGUUGUCUGAUAUUCAGUUUUUAUAGCUGGGGAGACAUGGCUUUAGCUUUGGGUAAACUAUUCUAUCUCUUCCUCCUCUUCCUCUGCCUCCUUCUCCUUCUUGUGUUCUCCAUGAGCAUAAAACCAAAAUAUACUUGAUGCUUUGUUGUAAAAUAAACAGAUGAUAAAUAGCAGUCUCUGUGACUGUUGGGUUAUAAUUCCAUCGAGGGCUGGGGUUGAAGUCAUAAACCACAAGAAGUGAAGCAUGACCCACAAAUAGCCUUCAGGAUGGAAUUACAGCCCCAUAAUUCAGAGUAGCCCUUUGAAAAAAUAAUUCCUAAACCUAGCUAUAAUUUGGGGAAAGAGCCACGACAGUGGUGACGUCUUCUCUAAUCAGUUCAUCAGUAGACAAAUUACUCCCCUUCGUUAUUCUGAUGAUAUUUAUUAACGUUGGGGUGAGCACCCAAUCUGUUUUCUAGGAGGUUACUGUUGAAACCAGGUAGCAGUCGCCCAAACAGAACCAAAGAAAGGGAAACUGGAGUCUCACAGUAAGAAAGUUCUCACCACAGAUGAAGGUCAAUGAGCAUGAGGUGAGAAGAGACAUUCAUUACUUUGGAACUGAUGAGAAAUAUUGAUUCCUGACCACAGGAGUAGUGGCCGAGUUUGUUUUGCGUGGAGUGUGGCAUAAAUUCCGUCCCUGUUCUGCAUCUUACUACUUCUCUAAAUGUCUUUGCUAUUUUCAAAACUGAUUCUGCUUGAUCUCAUAAUUCAUUAAAGCAAGUUGAUCUCAUGCACCCCAAGAGUUAUGAGAAGCUUUUUCAUGAUGGUUCUUGCAUGAUGAAAAUAAAUUCUCAUUUAUUACAGAGAAAAUAAACCGAACCCAACAAUUCUGUAGAAGGUGAAUGUUUAAAUGGCAGUUUCUUGUGAUCAUAAAUUAAACCAUCAAAAUCCCAUAAGGUUUCUCUGCAGCCUAGAUAUUAAAUAAAACAACAAACAUGCAAGGACUGGCAAGUGGUAAGGGCUUAAUACAUGGUCAUUCACUACCAUAAUUUGUACCAUAAAAUUCAGAAAUUCUUUACAUGCUUUGUGUGUUAUUAUCUACUUUGUCAAUGACGCUGAAGACAUGAGGAGAACAAGGGUCUCAUCUGACGCAUUAUGCCUUUCCACAUAGACAAUGUAGAAUAUUAUUUAAAACAGAGUCUACAGCAUGAAGAAAAUAGAAGCAACAGAAAACAACAAGCUAAUAUAUAAACUAUUAAGGCAAAAUGGACAAAGAAUAUGAUCAUUUAAAAGUCGAGCUUAUUGAGGUAUAAUUUGCAGAUAUGCUUUGUGUUUAAUUUGCUCCUUCUUUCCUAGUUUAAGGUGGAAACUUAGAUCAUUGAUUUGAGAUAUGUCUUCUCUUUCAAACACAAAUAUAUAAAAGUGUGAAUUUUACUCUAAGUACUGUUUUGGCAACAACACACACAUUUUGAUAUGUUAGGUUUUUAUUUUUGCUUUGGUUCAAACUAUUUUCUAAUUUUUCUUGUGAUUAAGUUUGAGAAUUUAACAAUAGAAAACAGAAAACAAAUACUUCGUUAUUGAUUUCUAUUUUAAUUUUGUUAUGAUCAGAAAACAUGCUUUGUAUGAUUUAAAGUCCUUUAAAUUUAUUGAGCCUUAUUUUUUGACCCAGAUAUGAUCUUUCUUUGUGAAUGUUGUGUCUGCAUUUGAAAAGAAUUUGUGUUCUGCUAUUGCUGGAUGGAGUAUUCCAUAGCUGUCAGUUAAGACAGUGGUUAGUGGUUCCAUUUAUCUUCUAUGUUUUUCUGUAUGCUUGUAUAUCUGAGAAAAGGAUGCUGAAAUUUCUAACUAUCACUGUGAAUUUGUCUGUUUCUCCUUUUGGUUCUGUCAUUUUUUAUUUUAUUUGUUUUGACAUUGUUAGGUAUUAUUAGGUGCAUGUACAUUUGGAACUGUUAUGCACUCAUGAUGAACUGAGUUCUUUCUUGUUAUAAAAUGUCUCCCUUUAGCCUACAUAAUAAUAUGUGUUCUGAGGCCUACUUUGUGUGAUAUGAAUUACAGCCAUUCCAGAUUUCUUUUGAUUAGCUUCUGCAUGGUACUUUUUUCAUCCUCUUCGUUUUAUCUAUAUAUUUAUACAUAUUGUAUAUUUCUUGUAGACAAAAAUAGGUAUGUCUUGCUUUUUAAAACCCAAUAUGACAAUCUGCUUUUUUAAUUAGAAUGUGAAGAAUUUUCUCUAAUAUUUCUUAUAAUAUAGGUCUGUAGUUUAUGGAUCCUAUCAGCUUUUAUUUGUAUAAAAAUAUUUUCUCUAUUUCUAAUUCACUCUCUAUUUUGCCUUCAUUUUUAAGAGAUAUAUUUCCUGGGAAUCCUAUGAUGACGGUUCUUUCUGUCAGCACUUUUAAGAUAUUCAUCCAUUUUCUUUUGGUCGGCAUAUUUUCUCAUAAGAAGUCUGCUGUCAUGCUUGUCUUUAUUACUCUGUAAGUAGUAUGUCUUUUAUCUCUGGCUGCUUUUAAGAUUUGUUUAUCUCUGAUUUUUAACAAUGGGAUCAUGAUGCGUUUUAGCAUAUACGUCUUUAUAUGUAUUCUGCUUGGGUUUCAUGGAGCUUUGUUGACAUAGUUUUCAUUAAAUAUAGAUAAACUUCUAGCUAUUAUUAUUUCUUCAUCUAUCUUCCCUCUUCCUUUCUGGGACUCUAAUUUCACAUGGUAGACAGCCUUGAUAUUGUUCCAUAGAUACUAGAUAUUAUUUUUGUUUUCGUCCAUCUUUUUUGUUUCUCUGUACUUAAUUUUGGAUAUUUUCUAUUGGCAUGUCUUUGAGUUCACUGAUCUCUUCUUCUGCAGUUCCAAAUUGGCCACAAAACUGUCCAGUAUAUUUUUUGUUUCAGAUCACAUAAUUUUCACCUCUAUCAGUUCCAUUGUGGUACCUCUCUCUCUUCUUUAAAAUAUAUUCCUUUCUGCUCCUCAUAGUGUUGUUUUUCCCUCCUUCUUGAGCAUAUUAAGCGUGUUUAUGAUAGUUAUGAUAGCUGUUUUAAAAUUUGUUUCUAAUUUCUGAAUUUCUGUCAUUUCUGUUUCACUUCAACUUAUUGGCCUUUUCUAGGUAUGGGCCAUAUAUUUCUGCAUUUUUGCAUACCUGAUAAGUUUUUAUUUGAUGUCAUAUAUUGUGAGAUUUUACAUUGUUGUGUGUGGAUUGUGUUAUAUUCCUUUUGAUAGUGUUGGACUUUGUCCUGGCAUCCAGUCAGAACAGUGAUUGCCUCUGGGAAGUGGUGAGAUUGAUGUUCAAGGUAAUUGAAUGGCUCUGUAUCUAGAUCUGGGUAUUGGUUACAUGGCUGUGUGCUUGCUACAAAACUCAUCCAUAUAUAUACACUUACAACAUGUGCAUUUUACUCUAAGUAAAUUACACUCAAAAAUAUUAUAAAAUGUUAUAUAUGACCAUUUAAAAAAUUUGAAAUAAUACAAUUAUAUAAAGAAUAACAACUAAAAGUCCUAUCUUCCUCCAUCUCAAUUGCACUGCCUCUUCAUUAUUCCUUCUUUCCCAAAAUCUUACCAUUCAUAAACCAGUUAAAUCCUUUUCUAUAUCACCUUCAAAAUCUUUAUCUAUGGAUUUACACCUGUAGCAUCAUGGUUAAGACCACAGGCUCUAGAAACAAGACUGCUUGGGACAGAAUCAUGGCUCUACUACUUAGUAGAUUCAUUUUGCCUAGUUUUGAACAUCAUACAAAUAGACAGAAAAAGUAGGCAUUUCUGUAUUUGACUUCCUUCCCUCAAUGUCAUAUUUUUGAGGUUCAUUGAUGUUGCUUAUGUCAAUAGUUUAUUCCUUUUUCUUGUACCCAGUUAUAUAUAUCAUUUUAUAAAUAUAACACCAUUUUCUUUUCUGUUCUCUGACUGAUAGACAUUUGGGUUGUAUCCAGUUUGGGCUAUCAUGAUAAAAGCUGCUGGGAAUAUUCUUGUACAAGUUUUUGGUGGAUACGUGUUUUUAUUUAUCUAGAGUAAAUAUUUAGGAGUGAACUUGCUGGGUCAUAGGGUAUGUUUAAAUCUAUUUAAAAAAACCUAACUAUUUUUAUUUAACAUUGCUUUCAGUAAAGUAUGAGAGUUCCAGUUCUUCUACAUCCUAACCAGCACUUGACAUGGGUCAGUCUUUUACAUUUUAGCCAUCUAAUAGGUGUGUUUUGAUAUCUUUUGUGACUUUAAUUUUCGUUUCCCUGAUUACUAAUGAUGUUAAUAUUUUCAUGUGCUUAUUUACCAUUUGUAUAUCUUCCUUUGUUAAGUAUUUGUCCAAGUCCUUUGCCUAUUGUUCUGUUAAAUAGUGCAGUGUAACACAGAUAAACCCAUAACUUAUUGGCUUAAAGAUUAGUUUUAAAUUUUGUUUAUCAAUCUUCCAUUUGGGCAGGAUUCAGUUUGGACAGCUGAUUUCUGCUCCAUGUGGCAUCAGUUGGAGGAGCUCGACUGGGGCUGGGUGUUCUCCCAUAUGGCUUACGUACAUGCCUGGCAAGUUGAUGCUGUCAGCAGGAAACUUCGCUAAGGCUGUUAGCCAGAUGCCUUUGUUCCUCUUCACUUGAGUCUGUCCAUUUGAUUGCUUGGACUUCCUCAAGCGUGGGGGCUGUGUUCUAAGGAUGUGUGUUUUAAGAGAACAGAAGUGAAUGCUGUCAAUCUCAUAAGGUCUUGACUUGGGCACUGGGUUAGUAGCUUCACUUCCAUCAUACUCUGUUGGUCAAAGCAGUGCAGAAUUCACUCAGAUUCAUAGGGAGAGGACAUAGACUGUUUCUUCGUGGGGGGAAUGAGACAACAAUUAAUCCACCAUAGUCCAUCCUCUGAUUGGACUGCAUGGUUGGAAUGAAUGAUUUGCAUCAAUCCCAUGUAAAAAAUAGAAUCAGUUCCUCCUAAGACCUAUGAAAAUUUUACACCUUGUCUCUAGCUUUCAUCCUCCAAUCAAACUUGAAGCUCUUAGGAAAAAGCCAGUUAAGUAUGGAUCUCAUCCCUUAAAUUUUCUUAUUAUUAAGGUAAUAUCAGCUCCAUUUCUGUUUGCUUCCAGUACUCUUCAGUGUUUUCAAACAAUUGAUUUUUAUAUUUUGUACAUAGUUUAUAAUUGCUUUUGGCAAGAUUAGCAUAAUAAAAGCUUCUCCUCCUACUGUUGAAAACAGAGUCUCUUUGUAUAACAUACAAAAUACAUUUUUAAAAUAUUUAUAAUGAGGCAGGGCACAGUAGCUCAUGCCUAUAAUCCCAGCACUUGAGAGGCUGAGGCAGGAAGAUCCCUUGAGGCCUGGAGUUCGAGACCAGCUUGGGCAACAUGGUGAGACCCUCAUUUCUACAAAAACAAACAAACAAACAAACAAACAAACAAACAAAAUUAAAAAAAAAAUUAGCCAGGUGUAGUGGUGUGUGGCUAUAGCCCCAGCUACUCAGGAAGCUGAUGGGCUCACUUAAGCCCAGUAGUUUUAGGCUGCUGGGAGUUUUAGGCUGAUGGGAGGAUCACUUAAGCCCAGUAGUUUUAGGCUGCAGUGAGCUAUGACCACACCACUUCCCACCAGCUUGGGCAACAGAGCAAGGCCCUGUCUCUAAAAAUAUAUAUAUUUAAAAUGAGGAAAAGUAAAAGUAACCCUAAACAAUAGUAUAUAAAAUGCAAACACCUAGUAAAAACAACAAAAAAAAAUUCACAUGGGAAAUGAUUUCUAGUCUUGAACAAUUUACUGAUUAUUUGACAUCAAAGAACAGCAUUGAAUGUAACAUAAGCAGGUUGCUUUAUAUGUUUGGGCUCAGAUAUUUAUCUGAAGGACAAGAGGUUUAGAUCAGACAAUGUAAAUAAUCCUUUAGAUGUUUGAGGCCUACGAUUCGAAUAACCUUAUAAUUAAAUGUAGCAUUUGAUUUCCAUUUUGGUGAAUGUAAAGAAAGCUUAAGAAUUUACAAUUUAUAUGGUCAGUAUGACAUCAGAAUACAGAAAAAAGAAAUUACCUCAAACCGUACAAUUAUCUUUUCAGAUGGAGCUUACAGUUCCUUUCUUCUCUAACAGGGUUCACAAGCUCAAGAAGUACCUGAAAUUGGGCUAGGAAAUAGUCACAGAGUAAACAUGGCUUGUUUUCUGAGGGUAUCAAUUUUACCUUAUAAUUUUGAGUAAAAUCACAUUCAUAAAUCAUAUUGCAUAAAAAUAAACUUAGAUAACUUAUGGUAUAAAAUACAAAUAUUAUAUAAAUAUUUAAAGCUUAAAAUAGAAAAAAAGUCUAUUUGGAGAGAAACCUUAGGGCAACUAUUUCAGUUGCUGGAGGAGAAAGACUUUGUCUCUUCUGGUAUUGUAAUAGAAAAGUUUGAGAAAUGCUAUAAAUUCACUGGGCGUUGGGCAAGAAGUCUAAAAUCCUGCUCUUUAUUUAAGAUCUGCAACCAUCAUUGGAUCUAUGCCAUAAAUAUGUUUUAUUUACCCAGACAUCUGCACUAUUUAUUUAGCUUUAGUCACUGAACGAACAGUUUUCAUUCUGUAUGAGGUGCUACCCUCAAAACUAUUUGUCUGUUUCUCAGUACGUUUUUGGUUGAUGGAGUUUGGAUGAAAUAUCUGUUUCUCUGACCCUCCACUUAAGGCAAAACAUAGCAGCCUGCCCUUCCUUUCCAGGUGCAGACAGAACUGAGAUUAGCAUGAACCAUUCCUUCCAGUUGACUACCAAGGGGUAAACUAUGAAGAGUUUUGCAUUGUGAUUUAGGGGUCUCAAUUGUUCUCCCUUCCACCAUGGGCUGUGAUAGUGCCUAAAGCACCAGUCCUCUGAGGUAGGACAGAGUGAUCUUGAUAGGCCAAUACUAUGAAAGAUGAGAGGGAAAUCCUCUCUCAAGCCAUUUGUCAUUUCUAAACACCUUGAUUCAAGCUAGUUGGCCAUAAUUUAAAAAUAAGCCCUUAAAUUAUUUAACACUCUUCCUAUUUAAAGUCAGACUCUAAUUCCUCUUCCCCUGAAUAUAGUCCAGCCAGUGACUUGCUUUACAAGAAUACACUUAGGCUGAACUGAUGCUGUGUGAUUUUUUUUUUUUUAAACUAGGGUAGGGAAGACAACUCAAUUCUGCCCAGAGAGCUCUUUUUCACUCAACUGAAUACGCACUGGGAGCCAUAAGCCAACAUGUAAGGAAUUCAGCUACUCAGAAGCUAUCAUGCUGGAAAGACCAUGUAGAAAACUUACAGACAUAGAAAAAGUUCCUUGAGGGCUCCAGCCCCCAGCUAUUUGAGAAUUCCAGGUCCAUGCCUCAGGCCUAUAAGCCAGGAGCUUUCAGAUGAUUCCAGUCUUCAAGCCAUCCCAGCUCCUGGUAAAUCGAGCAGAGAUGAGCCAUCCCCGCUAAGCCCUGCCCAAAUGGCAGAUUCAUGAGCAAAACAAAUGCUCUUGUUGUUUUAAGCCACUGAGUUUUGAGGUGGUUUGUUGGUUUGUUAGGUAGUAAUAGAAAAAUGGAUUCUUUCCUAUUACCUAGUCAAAUUCUGAGGAAAUGGGACAUAAGUAAAUCAUAUUUGUUUUCAUAUACAUUUCCUGUUUUAAAAUUGGGUUGUUUGUAGAUAAAAAGAGAAAGGCAAGGAGAGUUCAGAAUCACAAUGCACUAAAAGAAAGAGUUCAGAGAGGUGGGAAAUGAAAUACUUUCACAGAUAUCUCCAAUAAAUAUGCAUGUGCACAGAACCUUGAAAGUUUUAAAUUGGCAGGGAUCUUAGGAAUCAUAAAACUGAACCUACUUUUCAAAAGUAAAGUUCAAGGAAUUAACUCAUUUGGGCAGGAUUCCAGAGCCAGAAUAGAGCCCAAGAUUCCAAACCUAGCCACUGACUGCAGUACCUCUUUUCUCGAGGCAUGUAUAAUAAACUCCACCAAUUUAGCCAAAUAAUAAGGGCAAGAUCAAAUAAACAAAAAAGCAAUAGCAACAACAGCAACAAUUCUGCAUAACCUAACUGGCUAUUUCUAAAAGUAGUUGUCUUUGCUCUGCCUGUCCCUGUCUAUUGUCUCCUUGUGGAAUAAGUGUGUCCACCCCUGGGUCCUUGACAUUAAAGGGUUUGGGAAACUGCUACAGAAUUCGCAGUUCUAGUUCUCCAGGCAAGGGAGUUAAUGGAUCUCAGACAUGCUUAUGUUAUUUCACUACACACAGCAGUGUAUUUGUGGAGUGCUUACCAUGUGAUAGCAGCUGUACUAAGUACUUUAUGUACAUUAUUUCAUUUUAUCCUGCUUUGAAUUUUUUAUAAAUCAAGUUUAUUGUGGUAUAAUUUUUAUAUACUAAAAAGCACCCAUAUGAUAGUUUAAAGAGUUUAGACAAAUAUAUAGACCGUGUGACACCUAGCAUAAUCAACACACAGAAAAUUUUCAUUCCCCCACCCCCAAAAAGUUUCUUUAUGCUUCUUUGCAGAUAAUCCUCCUCCUGCUGUGCCCAGGCAACCCAAAGUCCUUUCCAUCACUAUCGAUUUUAUGCCUAUUCCCAAAUUUCAUAUAAAUAGAAUCCCACAUUAUGUAUUCUUUUGUGUCUGGAUUCUUUUGCUUGGCAUAAUGUUUUUCAGGUUCACCCGUAUAAUUGUGUGGACCAGGAGUUUGCAACUUUUUAUUGUUGAGUUUUAUUCCAUUGUAUAGAUAUACCACAAUCGGUUUAUCCAUUCUCCAAUUUAUGGAUUUUUUUUUCCAGUUUGGGGCUAUUAUGAUUAAAGCUGCUAUGAACAUUCUUGUAUAAGUCUGGGUAGAAAUAUUUUAUUUAUUUAUUUAUUUUUUGAGACAGAGUCUCACUCUGUUGCCCAGGCUGGAGUGCAGUGGUGCUAUAUUGGCUCACUGCAAGCUUUGCCUCCUGGGUUCACGCCAUUCUCCUGCCUCAGCCUCCCGAGUAGCUGGGACUACAGGCGCCUGCCACCACGCCCAGCUAAUUUUUUUUUUGUAUUUUUAGUAGAGACGGGGUUUCACCGUGUUAGCCAGGAUGGUCUCGAUCUCCUGACCUCGUGAUCCGCCCACCUUGGCCUCCCAAACUGCUGGGAUUACAGGCAUGAGCCACCACACCCAGCUGAAAUAUGCUUUUAUUUAAUUAUCUUAGGUCGAUGCCUAAGGGCGGGCCAUAUGGUAAGUGUAUAUUUAACUUUGUGAGACACUGCCAAACUGUUUUCCAAUAUGGUUGAAUCAUUUAUGUUUCUAUCUGCCAUAUGUAAGAGUUCCAGUUUCUCCACAGAUUUGCCACCCUACUAUGUGUGUAGUGGUAUCUCACUAAGGUAUCAAUUUGCAUUUUUCUGAUGUCUAAUGGUGUUGAGUACUGUGUCUUUAUUUGCUAUUUAUAUACCUUUUUUGAUGAAGUAUCUUUUCAAAUACAUUCCCCAUUUUAAAACGGGGCUAUUUGUUUCCUUAUUAUUGAAUUGUAGGUGUUCUUCCUGUAUAUAUUCUGGAUACAAGUCCUUUGUUAGAGAUAUGUACUGUCAAUUAUAGAUGCUGUACUGUAAAAGUCUGUCACUUGCCUUUUCACUUUCUUGACAGCAUCUUUCAAAGAGCAGGAAUAUUAAAUUUUGAUAAAACCUAAUCAGUUUUCUUUCCUUUAUGGAUCAUGCUUUUGAUGCCCUAUUAUGUUAAAGUUUUAAAGUUGGACUGUUGAGAGGGAAAAGGAGCCAAUCUGAAAAGAUAAUCCAAGGCAUGACUAAGAAAGCAUUAGUUCUGAAUUCUGGGAUUACAUCAGAAUCAGCAGGUGAUUUAAAAACACCUGUCUAGGACCUAGCCCCAGAAAUUCCAAUUUAGACUGAUCUAUGGUGUAGCCUAAUUGUGAAUAGUCUUUAGAGGCUCUUUUGGUGAUCCUAAUGUGCAGCUAUGGAUGAGAAUUAUCAAAAAAGAGGUAAAGUGUGUGCAAAAUAUGUGAAAUUUAUUUCAGCAUAUAUAAGGCUUUCAUUAAUGGGGUAUUUUGUAUAAUUCUAAAGGAGUCACAUGUUAAAGUGCACAACUGAAAUCUAGUAUGUAAUAAUCAUUUGUAUUUAUACUUUUUUGAGACAAAGGAAGUAGAUAAGCAACACCCCUGAGUUUCAGACAUCACAAUGCCAUAGUGUGCUUUAUGGGAAUAUAGAGAUGCAAGGAAAAGUGUCUGAAAAAGACACACACACACAUACACACACACACACACACACACAAGAUAGUCAAGAUGCUUUUAUAAUCAUUUUAAGAGGUCUUCAUCAUGAGGUUAAAUAAGUCAUUAAAAAAAGCAAAAUAGGCAGAAAAAGCUUUUUAGCAGAAAGUUUAUAAAAAUUGCUGGGGAGUAACAAACAGGAUAAAUAGGGAAAAUCUACAGCUGAUACAUGUUGAAGUAAUUGACUUAAAAGGUUUAUUUAGAGGAAGUAUUUUGCUAUAGCAGAGUGAGAAGUUUAGCAAUGCUUCUUCCCCCAAAAAACAAGUAUAAAAUUGGAAAAACUAUUUAAAAAAUGGUCUCAGGGCUCUGAAAAUCAACCAAAGAAAAAUAACAACUUGAGAAAUGGUUAUUGGUGAAAAAUGGCUAGAAAUGUGGAUAAGAAAAGUGUAGAUUCUAUAGAGAUCUACAGCCUUCUUGCCUAGGACUAUCCCUCUCCCUUAACUCCUCCUAAAACUUGGUUAGCGCGCUAGUUUUAGCAAGGCAGGACUGACUAUGAAAACCAGCAGUACUGCUAGAGGGGGUUGACUUGAUUUGAACUGGAGGUUCCAAACCUAUUCCUGGCAGCAUUAUCAAGAAAAGUAGGAUACAUGGUAGGAAAUAAAUGGGGAAUUUUUACAGCUCUGCUAACCUGAGUUUGCAGUACCAGUUAGGGCUAGUUAUGGGCUAGUCAAACUCUUAACAGGAAGUUUCUGGAAAUGAGAGUCAUAUAAGGGCUAGAUAAGCUCUCUGUGCCUUUCUGGCUGGAUGAGAAACUACGUUUACAGGAGAGCUAUGUAAAGUAAAAGCUAGGACAGACUUGAAAAGUGCCUGAACUUUGAAUGCGUCCUCUCUCCUGUCUGCCCCACCCAAUUCACACACAGAUCUAUUAGCAGAAGGUGGAAACCUUACAGGCUUAAGGUAUUUGAGCACAACCUCUUAUCAAUCACUGACAAACCAGCAGAUACAGGACUACACAUUGGAAGCUAGGCAAAAAUGAAUGAAUGAAUGGAGAAUUAUUUUAAACUGAGCAGAGACAUCAGUGGCAGCACAUCUCAGAGAAACAGAUUCUGUAAACUAGGUUGGAGUAAAUUAUCUAAAGGAACAACUAUCUUGUGGGAAAAUAUCAUAUCCCAGAGUUGUUACAAUAUUAAUCUAAAAUGUCCAGUUUUUUUUCUUUUUAAGACAAGUUUUGGCUGUAUCACCCAGGCUGGAGUGUAGUGGUGCAAUCUCAGCUCACUGCAACCUCCACCUCUUAGGCUCAAGCCAUCCUCCCACCUCAGCCUCCCAAGUAGCUGGGUCUACAGGCACGCACCAACACGCCUGGCUAAUUUUUGUAUUUUUUUGUAGAGGCAGGUUUUCACCAUGUUGCCCAGGCUGGUCUUGAACUUGUGAGCUCAAGUGAUCCAUCCACCUUGGCCUCCCAAAGUGCUGGGAUUAUAGGCAUGAGCCACCACGCACAACCAAAUGUCCAGUUUUCAAUGAAACAUCAUGACAUAGUCAAAGAAACAAGAAAAUGUGAUCCAUAGUCAGGAAAAAAACAGUCCAUGGAAACUGACUUUGAGUGCACCUAAAUAUAUUUAGCACACUAAGACUUCAAAACAGCUCUUGUAUUUUAAAAAUUAAAGUAUGAUGAUAAUGACACUGUAAUAGGAAUGCUCAGUAGAGAAACAGAAGCAAUAAUAAGGAACCAAUGGAACUUCUAGAAUUUAAAAGCCCUAUAGCUGAAAUAAAAAAUUAAAUGGGCACAUUUGGGGUGGCAAAAGAAAUAAUUGGUGAACUUCAAAUAGAUCAAUAGAAAUUAACCACUCUGAAGAACAUGGAAAAACAUAGAUUGAAGAAAAAUGAGCAGAGCCUCAGAGACCCAUGUGGCAAUAUCCAGCAUACCUACUAACACGUAAUGAGAGUCCCAGAAAGAGAAGAUAGAGAUACAUGCAGGAAAAAUACUUGAAGAAAUAAUGGCUAAACAUUCUGCAAAUUUAAUGAAAAACAUGAAUUAUACAUCUACAAAGCUCAACAAACUCUAAAUAGGAUAAACAUUAAAAUCCCCAUCUAUACACAUUAGAGUAAAAUUAACUGAAAACCAAACACAAAUAGAAAAUCUUAAAAGCAGCAAGAGAAAACCAGUUCAUCCUAAACUGGGGAAUAACAAGACAAUUAAUGCCUGAUUUCUUAUCUGAAACAAUGGAGGCCAGAAGGCAGUGGAAGGACACAUUUAAAGUGAUGAAAAAAAAAACUGUCAACCACAAAUUCUGUGUGCAAAACAAUUCUUCAAAAACAGGUGAAAUAAAGAAACUCCCAGAUGAAGACUGAGAUAAAUUAUUGCUGACAGAUACAGCUUCCAAGAAAUUCUACAGAAAAUGAAAGGAAAUGACACCAUAAGGCAAAUCCACAGGGAGAAAUGAAGAGCACCAGAAAUGGUAACUACGUGGGUCAAUAUAUAAGAUUGUAUAAACAUGUAUUUUCUAUUUUUUUUAAAACACAUCAGAUUUUGUGAAGCAAUAAUUGAAACACUAUUGUUGAGUUUAUAAUGUUAUAUAGAUAUUACAUAUGUGACAAUAAUAGCACAUAUAAGGAGAUGGGAUGAAAUUAAGCUAUAUAAGAGCAUCAGUGUUGGAUUUUGCUGAAAGUAAAUCAGUAUUAACAUGAAUUAUAUUGAUAAAUUAAGAGUACACCUUAAUCCCUACAGCAAACACAAAGAAAAUAAAGAAUCAAUAGAAUAAUAAAGUGAUACACCAAAAAUAAUUGUUUAACCUAAAGACAGCAGUAAAGGAGUAACAGAGGAACAACAACAAAAAGACAUAAACUAUAUUUAAAACAAACAGCAAAAUGGCAGACAUAAGUCCAAUUCUAUCAAUAAUCAUAUUAAAUAGUCCGUUAAAUCAACUAAACACUGUAAUGAAAAUACAAAGAUUGGCAGAUGGGAUACAAAAGAAAGAUUCAACUAUGUGCUGACCACGAAAGACAUACUUGAAAUGCAAAGAUACAACUAAAUUUAAAGUAAAAGAAGUGGAAAAGAUAUAUUAUACAAACAGUAAUCAUAAGAAAGCUGGAGUGGAUAUAUUAAUAUCAAACAAAGUAGACUUUCAGAAAAUAAAUAUUACUAGAGAUUCAGAGGGACAUUUCAUAAGCAUAAAAAAGUCAAUACAUCAGGAAGAUACGAUGUUAUUAGCACCAUGCUCUAACCAACUGAGCUGACCAGCCAUCACAUGAUCUUAAAUAUAUUUGUACCUAACAACAGGAUUCUGAAAUACAUCAAGUAAAAGCAAAGGGCAUUGAAAAGGCAAUGUAGAUGAUUUAAUAAUUAUAGUUCAAGAUUUUAAGACCCUUGAUACUGACAGAGAAAGUAGACAGAAAAUUAGUAAAGAGAAAAGGUUAAAAAAAACGAUUAUUCAACAUGGUGGUUUAACUGACAUGUAUAGAACACUUCCCCCUGCAGCAGCAAAAAAUAUUCUUUCAAGUGCAUUUGGAAGUUUCUUCAGGACAGAUCAUACGAUAGGCUUUAAAGCAAGUUUUCGGCCAGGUACGGUGGCUCAUGCCUGUAAUCCCAGCACCGUGGGAGACCGAGGCGGGUGAAUCACCUGGUGUCAGGAGUUUAAGACCAGCCUGGCCAACAUGGUGAAACCCCAUCUCUACUAGAAAUGCAAAUGUCAGCCAGGUCCACACCUGGACACCAGGUAUCAGUCACCUGUAAUCCCAGCUACUCAGGAGGCUGAGGCAGGAACAUCGCUUGAACCCAGGAGGUGGAGGUUGCAGUGAGCCGAGAUCACACCACUGCAUGCACUCCAUCCUGGAUGACAGAACGAAACUACGUCUCCAAAAAAAAAAAAAAAAAAAAAAAAAGCAAGUUUUCAUAAACAUAAAAAGAUUGAAGUCAUUCAAAGUAUGUCCUUCAAUCACAAUAGAAUUGAAUUCAAAAUCAAUGACAGAAUCUUGAAAAAUCCUUUACAAUAUCUGGAAAUUAGAUAACACAUUUCUAAAUAACUCAGGAUCAAAGAAGAAAUUGAAUGUAAAAUUAAAGAAUAUUUUGUACUGAAUGAAAGUGAAAAGACAACAUAUGAAAAUUUAUGGGAUGCAGCUAAACAGUGCUUAGACAAAAAGUUGCAGCUUUAAACAUGUAUAUUAAAAGUUGUAUUCACCGUUUAGGAAGGUAAUUGUUACAAAUUAGAAAAUGUUUUAUUGUAUGCACAAAUUUUAGACUUCGUUGGUUUAAUGUUGGAGCCUCCUCAUCAAAGGUUUUUAAGUCUUUAAAUACAUAGCAAUACAUUAUAUAUAUAUAUAUAUAUAUAUAUAUGCAUGUAUAUAAGUGCAUAUAAUAUACUGUUAAAUGCUUUAUUCAGAAAAGAUCUUGUAGAUAAUCACCACCAUGUAUUGAUAUUCUGAUAUAGUUUGAACGUAUGUCCCUACCAAAUCUCAUGUUGAAUUUCAAUCCCCAGUGUUAGAGGUAGGGCCCAGUGGGAGGCCUUUGGAUCAUAGGGGUGGAUCCCUCAUGAAUGGCUUGGGCCAUGCCCUUGGUGAUAAGUGAGCUCUUACUCUGAGUUCAUACAAGAUGUGGUCAUUUAAAAGUGUGUGUCACCUCACCCCGACUCUUUCUUUCUUGCUCCUUCUCUGCCAUGUGAAGUGCCUGCUCCCCCUUCACCUUCCACCAUGAUUGGAAGCUUCUUGAGGCCUCCCCAGAAGCAGAUGCUGGUGCUGUACUUCCUACACAGCCUACAGAACCAUGAGCCAAUUAAACAUCUUUUCUUAUAAAUUAUCCGGUCUCAGGUAUUUCUUUAUAGCAAUGCAAGAAUUGGCUAACACAGAUUCUAUCCACUUGUGGGGCACUGGGCUAAGCACUUUAUAUAUACAAUUUCAUUUAAUAUUCACAAUCCUAUUUUCAUGCGCGUCCGUGUGAAGAGACCACCAAACAGGCUUUGUGUGAGCAGUAAAGCUGUUUAUUUCACCUGGGUGCAGGUGGGCUGAGUCCGAAAAGAGAGUCAGUGAAGGGAGAUAAGGGUGGAGCCCUUUUAUAGGAUUUGGGUAGGUAAAGGAAAAUUACAGUCCAAGGGGGUUUGUUCUCUGGCGGGCAGGAGUGGGGGUCUCAAGGUGCUCAGUGGGGGUGAUUUUUGAGCCAGGAUGAGCUAGGAAAAGGACUUUCACAAGGUAAGGUCAUCACUUAAGGCAAGACCCGGGCAUUUACACUUCUUUUGUGGUGGAAUGUCAUCAGUUAAGGUGGGGCAGGGCAUAUUCACUUCUUUUGUGAUUCUUCAGUUACUUCAGGCCAUCUGGGCAUAUACGUGCAAGUCACAGGGGAUGCGAUGGCUUGGCUUGGGCUCAGAGGCCUGAUAUUCCUGACUUCUUAUAUUAAUAAGAAAAAUAAAACACAAUAGUGUUGAAGUGUUGGAGCGGCGGAAAUUUUUGGGGGGUGGUAUGGAGAGAGAAUGGGUGAUGUUUCUCAGGGCUGCUUCAAGCGGGAUUAGGGGAGGCGUGGGAACCUAGAGUGGGAGAGAUUAAGCUGAAGGGAGGUCUUGUGGUAAGGGGUGAGAUUGUGGGGAUGUUAGAAGAAACAUUUGUCAUAUAGAAUGACUGGUGAUGGCCUGGAUAUGGUUUUGGAUGAAUUGAGAAACUAAAUGGAAUAAGAGAAGGAGUAAAACAGAUAUAAAAGGUCUAAGAAUUGGGAUGACUCAGGAUAUCUGAUUAGAGAGUGCCUAAGGAGAUUCAGCAUAGUCCUGCCAGCAGAGAUUAUUUAUUUACUUCAAGAGUUAAGAGUGGCAGUUUGGGGAUAGCACCAGGAGAUAUCAGCUGUGAUGGCUUGGAAAAACAGUGUAAACCGGCAGUGUAAACAAGAACAGGGCAUGUAUGAGUAGUUGAGAACGGUGAACAGGAGUAUGACUAGACAGAAGAUAGUAGGGAUGACAAGUUUUUUGGGGCACAGUCUAAGUUGGUCUGGUGUCUGGAAUGAGGCUGGGGCCUAAUAAAAAGGAGCAUCUAUACAGGAGCUUAAAUGGGCUGUACCCUGUAGCAUUCUGAGGACAGGCCUGAAUUCUGAGAAGGGAAAGUGGUAAAAGUAUUGUCCAGUCCUUUUUAAGUUGGUGGCUGAGCUUGGUGAGGUGUGUUUUUAAAAGACCUUUAGUCCAUUCUACUUUUCUUGAAGACGGAGGACCGUAAGGGAUGUAAAGGUUUCACUGAAUACUAAGAGCCUGAAAACCUGCUUGGCUGAUUUGACUAAUAAAGGCUCAUCUGUUGUCAGACUGUAUUGAGGUGGGAAGGCUAAACUGAGGAAUUAUGUCUGACAGAAGGGAAGAAAUGACUGCGGUGGCCUUCCCAGACCCUGUAGGAAAGGCCUCUACCUAUCCAGUGAAAGUAUCUACCUAGACUAAGAGAUAUUUUAGUUAUCUGACUCAGGGCAUGUUGAGUAAAGCUAAUUUGCCAGUCCUGGGUGGGGCAAAUCCUCGAGCUUGAUGUGCAGGGAAGGGAGGGGGCCUGAAUAAUCCCUGAGGAGUAGUAGAAUAGCAGAUGGAACACUGAGAAGUUAUUUCCUUGAGGAUAGAUUUCCACGAUGGAAAGGAAAUGAGAGGUUCUAAGAGGCGGGCUAGUGGCUUGUACUAUAGCAUAACCUGCCUUUGCUGGUGUGUGGCGAUUAGGCCUGGUGGAACCGCCAUCAAUAAAUCAAGCGUGAUCAGCGUGAGGAACAGGAAAGAAGGAAAUUUGGGGAAAUGGGGUGAAUGUCAGGUGGAUCAGAGAGAUAGUCAUGGGGGUCAGGUGUGGUAUCAGGAAUAAUGUGGGAGGCCAGAUUGAAGUCUGGGCCAGGAACAACGGUAAUUGUGGGAGACUCAACAAAGAGUGAGUACAGCUGAAGGAGCCGGGAAGCAGAAAGUAUUUGCGUCAGGUAUGAGGAAGAAAAUAGAUUUUGGAAGUUAUGAGAACUGUAGAGAGUGAGUUGAGCAUAGUUUGUGAUUUUUGAGGGCCUCUAAAAGUAUUAAAGCAGCAGCAGCCGCUGCACGCAGACAUGAGGGCUAGGCUAAAACAGUAAGGUCAAGUUGUUCGGACAGAAAGGCUACAGGGUGUGGUCCUGGCUCUUGUGUAAGAAUUCUGACCGCGCUAACCAUGCCUAGGAAGGAAAGGAGUUGUUGUUUUGUAGAAGAUGCUUGGGUUUGAGAGAUCAGUCGAACACGAUUGGCAGGGAGAGCACGUGUGCUUUUAUGAGAAUUAUGCCGAGAUAGGUAACAGAUGAGGAAGAAAUUUGGGCUUGACUGAAGUAAUGGGGGCUGUCUGUGAAGCUCUGCGGCAGUACAGCCUAGGUAAUUUGCUGAGCUUGAUGGGUGUCAGGGUCAGUCCAAGUGAAAGCAAAGAGAGGCUGGGAUGAAGGGUGCAAAGCAAUAGUAAAGAAAGCAUGUUUGAGAUCCAGAACAGAAUAAUGGGUAGUAGAGGCAGGUAUUGAGGAUUGGAGAGUAUAUGGGUUUGGCACCAUGGGGUGGAUAGGCAAAACAAUUUGGUUGAUAAGGUGCAGAUCCUGAACUAACUUGUAAGGCUUGUCUGGUUUUAGGACAGGUAAAAUGGGGGAAUUGUAAGGAGAAUUUAUAGGCUUUAAAAGGCCAUGCUGUAGCAGGCGAGUGAUAACAAGCUUUAAUCUUUUUAAAGCGUGCUGCGGGAUGGGAUAUUGGCGUUGAGCGGGGU
rnacentral:lncRNA from 1 species